UGAGGAAUAUUGGUCAAUGGACGGAAGUCUGAACCAGCCAAGUAGCGUGCAGGAUGACGGCCAUAUGGGUUGUAAACUGCUUUUGUAUGGGGAUAAAGUUAGGGACGUGUCCCUAUUUGCAGGUACCAUACGAAUAAGGACCGGCUAAUUCCGUGCCAGCAGCCGCGGUAAUACGGAAGGUCCAGGCGUUAUUCGGAUUUAUUGGGUUUAAAGGGAGCGUAGGCUGGAGAUUCAGUGUGUUGUGAAAUGUAGACGCUCAACGUCUGAAUUGCAGCGCAUACUGGUUUCCUUGAGUACCGACAACGUUGGCGGAAUUCGUCGUGUAGCGGUGAAAUGCUUAGAUAUGACGAAGAACUCCGAUUGCGAAGGCAGCUGACGGGAGCGAAACUGACGCUUAAGCUCGAAGGUGCGGGUAUCAAACAGG
rnacentral:rRNA from 1 species